rnacentral:rRNA from 1 species
UACGAAGGGUGCAAGCGUUACUCGGAAUUACUGGGCGUAAAGCGUGCGUAGGUGGUUUUUUAAGUCCGUUGUGAAAGCCCUGGGCUCAACCUGGGAAUGGCAGUGGAUACUGGAAAGCUAGAGUGCGGUAGAGGGGAGUGGAAUUCCCGGUGUAGCAGUGAAAUGCGUAGAGAUCGGGAGGAACACCAGUGGCGAAGGCGGCUACCUGGACCAGCACUGACACUGAGGCACGAAAGCGUGGGGAGCAAACAGG